CGGGUGCAAGCAGCUUCAGGCAAUAUCUGUUUCAUUAGAAGAUUAGACAAAUUGGGCUUCUGAUAAUUAAAAGGAAAACACGAGUCACAAGUAUGUGGGCUGCGUUCGCAUCAGCUGCAGCUUCAGAGAGUAACUGGAUAUUGACAAGUAAAUAUUUAUUUCAUACCAGCCAUGGCGUAAACUCAAAGCAGAACAAUCUAAAGAAAUGCAGGAGAACGCAGCAUUACAGAAGAACAAAGGAGAGUUAAAUAUUUCUGCCUUCAGGAACAGCAAGAUCAGGUA